AUUGAACGCUGGCGGCAGGCCUAACACAUGCAAGUCGAGCGGAUGAAGAGAGCUUGCUCUCUGAUUUAGCGGCGGACGGGUGAGUAAUGCCUAGAAAUCUGCCUGGUAGUGGGGGAUAACGUUCCGAAAGGAACGCUAACACCGCGUACGUCCUACGGGAGAAAGCAGGGGACCUUCGGGCCUUGCGCUAUCAGAUGAGCCUAGGUCGGAUUAGCUAGUUGGUGAGGUAAUGGCUCGCCAAGGCUACGAUCCGUAACUGGUCUGAGAGGAUGAUCAGUCUCACUGGAACUGAGACACGGUCCAGACUCCUACGGGAGGCAGCAGUGGGGAAUAUUGGACAAUGGGCGAAAGCCUGAUCCAGCCAUGCCGCGUGUGUGAAGAAGGUCUUCGGAUUGUAAAGCACUUUAAGUUGGGAGGAAGGGCGUUUGGCUAAUAUCCAGGCGUUUUGACGUUACCAACAGAAUAAGCACCGGCUAACUUCGUGCCAGCCGCCGCGGUAAGAC
rnacentral:rRNA from 1 species